rnacentral:tRNA from 1 species
GUAUUUGUAGCUCAGUUGGAAGAGCAUUGGGCUAGUAUUCCAAAGGUCGUAGGUUCGAAUCCUACCGUGGCCU